UCGACCUCAGAUCAGGUGGGACUCCCCGCCGAAUUUAAGCAUAUUAGUAAGCGGAGGAAAAGAAACUAACAAGGAUUCCCCUAGUAGCUGCGAGCGAAGAGGGACGAGCCCAGCACUGAAUCCCAAAGGCCUCGCCUUUAGGGAAAUGUAGUGUUUAGGAGUGCCCGCUUAACCCGGGGUCCGUGCACCGCGUUCAAGUCCAUCUUGAACGGGGCCACGGUCCGAAGAGGGUGCCAGGCCCGUAGAUGACCGGUGCCGGCCCCGGGUGGGCCCCUCCUUAGAGUCGGGCUGCUUGAGAGUGCAGCCCUAAGCGGGUGGUAAACUCCAUCUAAGGCUAAAUACAACCACGAGACCGAUAGAGAACAAGUACCGUGAGGGAAAGUUGAAAAGAACUUUGAAGAGAGAGUUCAAGAGUACGUGAAACCGCUCAGGGGUAAACGGAAAAGACCCGAAGCCCCGAAACGGGAGAUUCACGUCUCCUCGCAGGGUCCGCACCCCGAAAGGGGGGAUGGCCUUUCGCCCCGUCCGGCUCGUCCGUGGCGGUGGGUGGGCCGCCCCCCACGGGGUCGCGCUCCCGCGGGGGACCGCACUUCUCCCCUAGUAGGACGUCGCGACCCGCUCUGCGGCGGUCUAAGGUCCGGAAGAGGGUCUGGCUCGUGGCCUCCACCUCGGUGGCGGUCGCGUGACAGCUCUCCGGCACCGUGGCCGUCGGUCCGGGCGGUAUCGAAAGACUACGGCGCUGGGCCGCUCCACAUGCGAGCGCCGCCGUCUCCCCGCAAGACCGGGCGUUUACCAGGGGGUGCCUUAACGGACACGCCCGGCUAGGCGCUCGGGCCCCUGGCGGGUGAGCACUCCGGCAAGGCCCAGUCCGCCAGUCGGCGGCGCUUCAGAUUCGGGAACUUAUCCGACCCGUCUUGAAACACGGACCAAGGAGUCUAGCGUGUGCGCGAGUCAUUGGGUGGAAAACCUAAAGGCGCAAUGAAAGUGUCCCGGGGCGCAUCCCUCAGGGGAGCGCGUCCCGUCGGGAGGAUGGGCCGCCGCCCGGCUGAGCCGUGGCGGAGCCCCGCACUCCCGGGGCGUCUCGUUCUCAUAGCGAGUGGAGACGCACCAGGAGCGCACACGCUGGUACCCGAAAGAUGGUGAACUAUGCCUGGCCAGGACGAAGCCAGGGGAAACCCUGGUGGAGGUCCGAAGCGAUUCUGACGUGCAAAUCGAUCGUCUGAGCUGGGUAUAGCGGCGAAAGACCAAUCGAACCAUCUAGUAGCUGGUUCCCUCUGAAGUUUCCCUCAGGAUAGCUGGCUCUCGGGGAGAGACGAGUCUCAUCCGGUAGAGCGAAUGAUUAGAGGUGAUGGGGUCGAAACGACUUCAACCUAUUCUCAAACUCCCAAUAGAUGAGAGCCCCGGCUUGCUUAAAAGUGAAGCCGCGGGACUCGGAUCAGAGAGGCCAAGUGGGCCAAUUUUGGUAAGCAGAACUGGCGCUGUGGGAUGAACCAAACGCAGAGUUAAGGCGCCUGAUUCGACGCUCACGUGAAACCAUGAAAGGCGUUGGUUGCUUAAGACAGCAGGACGGUGGCCAUGGAAGUCGGAAUCCGCUAAGGAGUGUGUAACAACUCACCUGCCGAAGCAACUAGCCCUGAAAAUGGAUGGCGCUGUAGCGUCGUGCCUAUACUCUGCCGUCAAAGGCAAAGCGGGCCGCCCCUCAAAGGGGAGUCGCCGUUAAGCCUUGACGAGUAAGAGGGUCGCGGCGGUGUGCGCGGAAGGGUCUGGGCGUGAGCCCGCCUGGAGCCGCCGCCGGUGCAGAUCUUGGUGGUAGUAGCAAAUACUCCAGCGAGGCCCUGGAGGACUGAUGUGGAGAAGGGUUUCUUGUGAACAGCUGUUGCACAAGAGUCAGUCGAUCCUAAGCCCUAGGAGAAAUCCGAAGAGAAUGGUUGCCGUUAAUGAUGUAUACGCGCCCGGGUCGGGGGUGUGCCCGUCCUCGCUCGCAGGGUCUGUGCUCGCCGGAAGGCGCGGCACACGAUUGCGGCGGGGUGGUGGCGCACGAGUGGCCCGGGCGCACGCACACAGGAAGGCACCGUUCGGGCGAAAGGGAAUCCGGUUCCUAUUCCGGAACCCGGCAGCGGAACCGCUCCAAUUCGGGCCCUCACCAGAGGACUCGUCGGGGUGACCCGAAAUGACCCGGAGAAGCCGUAGGGAGGUCCGGGGAGAGUUGUCUCUUCUCUAUAAGCGUUCGAGUUCCCUGGAAGCCUCUAGGAGGGAGAUAGGGUUUGGAACGCGAAGAGCACCGCACUUACGGCGGUGUCCGGAUCUUCCCCUCGGACCUUGAAAAUCCGGGCGAGGGCCACGGGGAACACCGCGCCGGCUCGUACCCAUAUCCGCAGCAGGUCUCCAAGGUGAAUAGCCUCUAGUCGAUAGAAUAAUGUAGGUAAGGGAAGUCGGCAAACCCGAUCUGUAACUUCGGGAUAAGGAUUGGCUCUGAGGAUCGUGGCGCGCCGGGCUUGGU
rnacentral:rRNA from 1 species